CCUACGGGAGGCAGCAGUGGGGAAUAUUGGGCAAUGGGCGCAAGCCUGACCCAGCAACGCCGCGUGAAGGAAGAAGGCUGUUGGGGUGUAAACGUCUUUUAUUAGGGACGAAGCAAGUGACGGUACAUGAGGAAUAAGACAUGGCUAACUACGUGCCAGAAGCCGCGGUAAUACGGAGGGGGGAAGCGUUAUGCGGAUGUACUGGGUGUAAAGGGCGUGUAGGCGGGGACGCAAGUCAGAUGUGAAAACCACGGGCUCAACCUGUGGCGUGCCUUUGAAACUGUGUUUCAUGAGUACUGGAGAGGCAGACGGAAUUCCUAGUGUAGCGGUGACAUGCGUAGAUAUUACGAGGAACACCAGUGGCGAAGGCAGUCUGCUGGACAGCAACUGACGCUGAGGCACGAAAGCGUGGGGAGCAAACAGGAUUAGAUACCCCUGUAGUC
rnacentral:rRNA from 1 species